GGGUAGCUGAGUCAGUAGAGCAUGAGACUCUUUAUUUGAGGUUUGUGGGUUCGAGCCCCACGUUGGACA